ACGAGAGAGCCGAUACACAUCGCGCCGAUCAAUAAUUAUUAACGUAGUUUUCGGCGGGGGGGGGGCAUACGCAAAUAUCAAUGUCCUACAGAGUGAACGUAUAACUCGUUUUUGUUCAUUUUAGACGCGGUGAUACGGCAAAAACGCGUUCACUCGCGCCGUAGCCUGUGGGCGCGUACGGGCCGGGUGGCUACUCGGGCGAAAGUCGAGUGUCCGUAGCAGAGCUGUUUAUUUUUUCUCGUCAGAACCGUUCGAUUUUCCUCCGUUCUCCCCUCAUUUGGUACGUACGACAGUUCGGAAGUCGGACCACGGGGAUGUGUUUCGGGUCCCACCCGGCGCUCUCGUUAAAACACGCCACUGCGUUACCCAUAUGAGCUGGCCGCGGUUUGUUUGUUUCGACCGAAUUCGCUCGUAAUAAAUAGUGUACGAGGUAUUGUUUACUAUUGCUGUCGUUAUUGGUUAGGAGGGAUGUUCUAUUAAAUAUUGACCGGACGACACAGCUGUCAUCAGCGUUUCGUCAUAAAUGUCCAGCAUAUUUAUUGUGUGCACUGGCUACAGUCAUUGUACACAUAUUGUUUGUUCGACAAAUAAUUAUUGUUUAUAGUGAAACGAACGUAAUUUAUAAUACGUAUAGGCGUUUUAACGCAACGAUUAUAUUAAAUUUGUUUUUUUUUUUUUUUUUUUAACUUGUUAUCUUAAUCGUUUUAAAGUGUUUAUAGAUUCGGUUCUAUGCGUUCAUUAUAAUCCUGCGUCGCUAAUGCUUACAGAUACAGUCAUUUACGUUGACGUUUUUAAUAAUUAUAAUUUGUAACCGCACAAGCGGCACAUUUUAUAUUAUUGUACACGAGUACGUUCUGUACAAAAUAUAUAAUACAUUUUUUUAUUACUAAAUAUUGUUCAUGAUCACAUUUUAAUGAUAUUACAAAAAUAUUCUAUGACCGUUCAUUGGUAACUGUUUUAUAGAAAAUACAUAUCAGACAACCGUUGCACUGUUUAGUGUACGUUUUAGAUUCUGAGUGGAGCGAAGAAGCUUAUGGUUUUACAAAGACGUUUAAUUUUUUUUUUUUUCCUGUGGACAACUUUUCCACCCGCGAUUUUGCUCCGAUUUACAAUGAUAGCACUUUUACGCAGGGAAAUCUGGCUGGGGAGGUACUUUGGAGAGAUCGUAUUUUAAUUUUCGCACUAGUUUUCCCAACAUAUAUUAAAUUACCUGUACAGUGGCUGCACCCGGUCCCCGUUAUCCUAGGACGUCUUUUUGACUUCAAAAGAAAAAGACUAGAAAAAGUAUAAGUAUAAGUAGUGAAUCUGGGCGUUGGGUGUCGUCGAUACGGAUAAAAGACACAAGUACGAGUAAUAAAACCACUUUAUUAGUGUAACGGUAACAAAAAGUAAGGUUAUAUACGACUAAUGAUUGAGGAGGUAACUACGUCGCAUUAUAGGUAUUUAUGAACGGGAGACGUCCUUGGAGGAAGGCCGGUCGCCGCGGUGAGUUAUGAAUCGGUUACCUCUGCGGCCGUGCUCAUAGAAUCGUUUGUCCGAAAAAUAACAUUAUUCGUUCUCGCCGUCAACGAAUCGCAUGGAAAAUCGUUAACAGGAACCGGCGUGGGUGUAGGCAUUAAGCGCGAUUCGCAAGCAUCGUACAGCACAGCGCGACACGACAAAUCGUUCUGUCAAUAUAACCGUAUACGGUAACACCCAUUCGUGUUCGUGCGAACACGAAACGGCACGAAAUAAAAUGUGUGAUAAUUUUUCUGAGCGGCGAGAGAAAAAUCGUUUUGCGAACACGUCGGGGUCGGUUCACUCGCACGCUGCCUCCCCGUGAUGCGAAUGGUUAACGUGGAAAAAAUAUUGCCGAUCGAAACGGGACGUGUUUUAAU